UGGUUCUGGCAUNGAUGAAGAACGCAGCGAAAUGCGAUAAGUAAUGUGAAUUGCAGAAUUUAGUGAAUCAUCGAAUCUUUGAACGCACAUUGCGCCCCUUGGUAUUCCGAAGGGCAUGCCUGUUCGAGCGUCAUUAAAACCCUCAAGCAAUGCUUGGUGUUGGGCCCUGCCGUGACUGGCAGGCCUUAAAAUCAGUGGCGGUGCCUCCUGGCUCUAAGCGUAGUAAAUCUUCUCGCUACAGGGUCAGAUGGGGUCCCUGUCCAUCAAGCCUAAAUUUCUUAACAAAUUGACCUCGGAUCAGGUAGGGAUACCCGCUGA
rnacentral:misc_RNA from 1 species